rnacentral:snRNA from 1 species
AUCUUUGCGCUUGGGGCAAUGACGCAGUUAGUGAGGUGAAACCGAGACGCGUCAAUUGCUGGUUGAAAACUAUUUCCAAACCCCCGCCCGUGCCCUAACCGGCGCGUGCGAAUUUCUGGAAGGCGUGUUUUUCACACGC